CAGUCGCCGCGGGAAUACAGAGGGUGCAAGCGUUAAUCGGAAUUACUGGGCGUAAAGCGCGCGUAGGUGGUUUGUUAAGUUGGAUGUGAAAUCCCCGGGCUCAACCUGGGAACUGCAUUCAAAACUGACUGACUAGAGUAUGGUAGAGGGUGGUGGAAUUUCCUGUGUAGCGGUGAAAUGCGUAGAUAUAGGAAGGAACACCAGUGGCGAAGGCGACCACCUGGACUAAUACUGACACUGAGGUGCGAAAGCGUGGGGAGCAAACAGGAUUAGAUACCCCCGUAGUCCCUGUCUCUUAUAA
rnacentral:rRNA from 1 species